rnacentral:rRNA from 1 species
CAACCGAGAUUCCCCCAGUAGCGGCGAGCGAACGGGGAGGAGCCCAGAGCCUGAAUCAGCAUGUGUGUUAGUGGAAGCGUCUGGAAAGGCGCGCGAUACAGGGUGACAGCCCCGUACACAAAAGCGCAUGUGCUGUGAGCUCGAUGAGUAGGGCGGGACACGUGGUAUCCUGUCUGAAUAUGGGGGGACCAUCCUCCAAGGCUAAAUACUCCUGACUGACCGAUAGUGAACCAGUACCGUGAGGGAAAGGCGAAAAGAACCCCGGCGAGGGGAGUGAAAAAGAACCUGAAACCGUGUACGUACAAGCAGUGGGA